UACAGAGGUCCCAAGCGUUGUUCGGAUUCACUGGGCGUAAAGGGUGCGUAGGUGGCCAGGUAAGUUUGAUGUGAAAGCUCGGAGCUUAACUCCGAAAUGGCAUUGAAUACUAUCUGGCUUGAGGGUCGGAGGGGAGACUGGAAUUCUCGGUGUAGCAGUGAAAUGCGUAGAUAUCGAGAGGAACACCAGUGGCGAAGGCGGGUCUCUGGACAGCUCCUGACGCUGAGGCACGAAGGCCAGGGGAGCAAACGGG
rnacentral:rRNA from 1 species